rnacentral:rRNA from 1 species
GACGAACGCUGGCGGCGUGCUUAACACAUGCAAGUCGAACGGUAAGGCCCUUCGGGGUACACGAGUGGCGAACGGGUGAGUAACACGUGGGUGAUCUGCCCUGCACUUCGGGAUAAGCCUGGGAAACUGGGUCUAAUACCGGAUAGGACCACUGCCUGCAUGGGUGGUGGUGGAAAGCUUUUGCGGUGUGGGAUGGGCCCGCGGCCUAUCAGCUUGUUGGUGGGGUGAUGGCCUACCAAGGGGACGACGGGUAGCCGGCCUGAGAGGGUGACCGGCCACACUGGGACUGAGAUACGGGCCAGACUUCUACGGGAGGCAGCAGUGGGGAAUAUUGCACAAUGGGCGCAAGCCUGAUGCAGCGACGCCGCGUGAGGGAUGACGGCCUUCGGGUUGUAAACCUCUUUCAGCACCGACGAAGCGCAAGUGACGGUAGGUGCAGAAGAAGGACCGGCCAACUACGUGCCAGCCGCCGCCGUAA